AAAAAAAACACUUGGGAAAUUGAAGUACCUGUCGUUUUCAAUGUGAGAAUUCUUAGUUGUUUUAAGGACACGGUCAAGGGAACACCUGGGAAACAAACGCCUCUCCGGAAGUGACACUGAGGAACUCUCAAAAAGGCAGAGGAACACCACAAUUAAGACCAAACAAAAGAGGGGAAGAGAAAAAGGAAGAGAAGCAUAGAAGAGAAUAAUAGUAGCAGAGGAUACAAGGAGAAAGAGAACAGAGGAGGUGAGAGAAGCCAAGGUAACAUUAGAGAAAGAACGUAAAAAAAAAAAAGAAGAGAAACAAAGAGAAAGAAUUGAAGAAAGAUUGGGAAAAUAAAGAGAUGUGGGAGAAAACAAGAGAAGAUGAAAACAGAAGGCAAGGAAUGUAAAGAGUGGUUAGAGUUGGUCAGGUCAACAAAGAGAAAGAGAAGAGAAUGCAGGGGAACAUAGACGUGGAAGAGAAAAGGCAAGGUAAACAAAGAGAAUGAAGAGAGAAGCUAGUAAACAAAGAGAAGAAAAAU